CCCUUAGAUGUCCUGGGCCGCACGCGCGCUACACUGAGUGUCUGAGAUACGAGUCUGCCUGGUCCGGCAAGGUCUAGGUAAUCGCUAAAAGACACAUCAUGCUUGGGAUAGAUUAUUGCAAAUAUUAAUCUUGAACGAGGAAUUCCUAGUAAGCGCAAGUCAACAGCUUGCGUUGAUUACGUCCCUGCCCUUUGUACACACCGCCCGUCGCACCUACCGAUUGAAUGGUCCGGUGAAGCCUCGGGAUUGUGGCCAGUUCACUUUAUUGGGAGUUGGCUGCGAGAACUUGUCUAAACCUUAUCAUUUAGAGGAAGGUGAAGUCGUAACA
rnacentral:rRNA from 1 species